CAAAGUUUGUUACCUGUUUUUUAGCUGUGUUUAUACAAAUACCACAAUGAAACAUCAUAGUAUUGUUACCAGCAAAAUACUACAUUGCUCAUAUGGUAUUUUGCUGGUAUUUGGAGACACACAUAUGGUAUUUGUACCAUAUAUGGUAUUGUUACUUGAUGUCUGUCUCAGGUAUUAGAAAGGGUGAUCAGUUCUGCUUCAUUGUUUUUUCUUUUUGCGUAAUUUGUAAUUUCAUUUUCGCGAUGUAUCGAACAAAGAGCACGUGCGUAAGCAGAUUGUGCGCAAUUACUGCACCAAAAAAAGCAUUUCAUGCAAAAAGCUAGAAAAACGGUUUAAAGCCAGUGUAAAUGGUGUGAAAAAUAGUUGUAUUGCAAUACAGUUCAAGGAUUCUUUAAAAGAUUUAUAAAAAAAUAGGCGAAAAAAGGCCCUAGUGAUCCAAUCAUUGAAGCAAAGGUGUUGGCCUUAAUAAACAAAACAAUGUCUGUGCGCGAUUUGGCGACAAAAGCUAAAAUCAGUGCAGAAUCUGUUGAGUCCAUUAUAAUGGGCGAUGAAACAUAUAUUAAAAUGGUCUCAAAAUAAUUACUAGGUUCCCAAUUUUAUACGAAACUAAAAGAUGGUACAGUCAACCAACAAUUGAAAUAGAAAAAUUUGGCGAGAAAAUACAUAUCUAGCAGGCUAUUUGCAAUUGCGGCCUUAGGGUCACUCCAUUUUUCACAAAGGAUAGUACCCGGCCGAGAAUUACAUAUAGGGAGUGUCUAAUGUCGAUUGGUACCAUUUUAUAAGAAACACAUCGUGUCAACAUUAUUUUGUCCCGAUUUAGCCGUGUACUGUCUCGCUCAUUCUACUUUGUCUUUGUUGAAAGACAACAAUGUCAAUUUUGUUAAAAAACAGGAGAUCCCUCCAAACGCUCCAAAAUUUCGCCAUAAACCUGAAAAAGGAUCAUCAAGUUGCCGAAAACGUCGACGAAUUGAAAAAAAACUAUGUAGCUUAAAGAAAGUUGUUCCGUUACAAAAAAAGGCCUUCGGUAUUGCAGAAUUUAAAGAAGAGAAUUAAACGAAAAAUUCGGCCUAAAUAAAGAUAAUAAUUUUUUACUAGUUUUAAUAAAAUGUGCAUAGAAACUCUUCUACUUGUUAUUAAAAAAAAGUUGCAAACAAAAAUUAAUAAAAUCCGUGACGUUAAAAAUAAAACAUUGUGUGCAGUUUCUUUUCAGUACAGUCCUUAUUUUGACAACCUUUGGGUGCUAAUAAAAACAGUAAUAUUUUUUCGAAAUCUAUGUAGAAUAUUAUUAAUACCCGAGACAGACAUGUAAUAACAUAUGGUACAAAUGAGAAGGUCCACGAUUAGAUAUGUCUAGAAUGUGAAAUAUUGAGUUAGAUGACCGUUAAGUACAAAAAUAAUAAAUCUUUGUCAAAAACACAUUCGUUUCCUAAUUGAAGUUUUUAUAAAGGAAAUGGGUAGGAAAAGUGAAAUUUUAUCAGAAAGGAAAAUGAAAGUUGUAGCUGUUUUGAAAGAAGAAGCUUCGAGCUUCUCAGAAAUUGCCAAAAUUGUUGGUAAUUUUAAAAAAUCAGUGGCUGUGGCCUAACGAGAAUUUGACUAGUGUUAAUAAUCGCUCAAACUGCGAGAGAAAAAGAGUAACGAGUGGAAGGGAAGUUCGCCCAAUCGUAAGAAAAGCGCUAAAAAAUAGAACUGCGUCAGCGCCAAGUAAUUUACGAAACAUUAGUAGCGCUGGCGUUAAGAUAUCUCUUCAUACUCUACGCAGAAGAUUUUACGAAAAUGGCUUAAAAUGCAGGAAACAAGCGAAGAACCCACAAUUAACGGAUUUGAUGCGACGACGUCGAGUGUUGUGGGCUCAGCUGCACAAAAAUUAUGAUUCAAGAUAUUGGAGCAAGGUUAUUCUUAGCAAUGAAUGUCGUUUGGAAGCAGUGACUCAGGCGGCAAAUUACGUUCGCAGAAGAAAGGGGGAACAAUAUUCUAGCUCCUGUGUUCUUCACAGGGUAAAACACCCGCCUUCCGUGAUGAUUUGGGGCUGCAUUUCUGCAGAAGGUCCUGGUCCCCUACAAUUCAUUGAAGGCACAAUGCGAUCUGUUCAAUACAUAUCUGUACUUAAAGAUACCUUGAUGCCUUAUGUUAAUCAAGUUAACUUUCCGCCAGAAGAAUAUACCUUUAUGCAAGAUGGGGCUCCAUGCUAUACAGCUAGAAACAGCAUGAAUGUCCUAAAUGAAUUGCAUUUGGAAGUCCUUCCUUGGCCUGGCAAUUCUCCGGACCUAAAUCCAAUCGAGAACUGUUGAGCAUAUCUUAAACGACCGGUCUAUGAACGAAAUAACACAACAAUUGAUAUUUUAAAGCGAAACAUUGAAGAUCUCUGGACAAAUAACGUCGAAUUUCACAGCAUGAUACAAAAAUGCAUUCAAAGUUUGCCUGAUAGAAUAAAGGCUGUGUUAAAAAAUAAAGGCGGGCGACAAAAUAUUGAAUAUGAUUCAAUACAAAAAUAUAAUAAUUUAAGAUUAAUUUAUAUAGCAUAUAAAAAAUAAUUUUUUUCAAAAAUACGCAAAUAUAUAUGUUUUUAUUAAUGAUUAAAUUUAGAA